rnacentral:rRNA from 1 species
CGCGUAGGCGGAUCGUUAAGUCAGAGGUGAAAUCCCAGGGCUCAACCCUGGAACUGCCCUUGAUACUGGCGAUCUUGAAUAUGAGAGAGGUAUGUGGAACUCCGAGUGUAGAGGUGAAAUUCGUAGAUAUUCGGAAGAACACCAGUGGCGAAGGCGACAUACUGGCUCAUUACUGACGCUGAGGCGCGAAAGCGUGGGGAGCAAACA